rnacentral:snoRNA from 1 species
GACCUCUCAUGGUCGCAGUUGGAGAGUUUCCAGUACUCUACCAGUCUUGGGUACGGGAGGAAGAGUCAAGCAGAGGCCUAUCCAUUCCAUUCCUAGCUUGGGCAGUGGCUAGUGAGUGUAAGGCAAUCUGCUACAAGU